rnacentral:rRNA from 1 species
GGUCAAGUUAUUAAGGGUGCAGGGCGGAUGCCUUGGCACUAGGAGCCGAUGAAGGACGUGAUAAGCUGCGAUAAGCUUCGGGGAGUUGCACGUAAACUUUGAUCCGAAGAUUUCCGAAUGAGGAAACUCACUUAGAGUAAUGUCUAAGUAUCAUUAAGUGAAUACAUAGCUUAAUGAGGGGAACUCAGGGAACUGAAACAUCUAAGUACCUGAAGGAAGAGAAAGAAAUUCGAUUCCGUAAGUAGCGGCGAGCGAACGCGGAUUAGCCCAAACCAAUAAAGUUUUCUUUAUUGGGGUUGCGGACAUAUCAUAACGAAGAGGUAUCGUAAUUGAAGAGGUUUGGAAAGACCCACCACAGAAGGUAAUAGUCCUGUAUGUUAAACGAGAAGACUUUAGAUAUGAUCCAGAGUACCACGGGACACGUGAAACCCUGUGGGAAGCAGGAGGGACCACCCUCCAAGGCUAAAUACUACCUAGUGACCGAUAGCGUAUAGUACCGUGAGGGAAAGGUGAAAAGAACCCCGGGAGGGGAGUGAAAUAGAACCUGAAACCCUGCACUUACAAGCUGUGGAAGCACAUUUCUUGUGUGACCGCGUACUUUUUGUAGAACGGGCCAACGAGUUACGUUAAGUAGCAAGGUUAAGCACUUAAGGUGCGGAGCCGUAGCGAAAGCGAGUUUUAACUGAGCGUUCAGUUACUUGACGUAGACCCGAAACCGGGCGACCUACCCAUGAGCAGGAUGAAGCGAAAGUAAAAUUUCGUGGAGGUCCGAACCCACGAGCGUUGAAAAGCUCGGGGAUGACUUGUGGGUAGCGGUGAAAUUCCAAUCGAGCCCGGAGAUAGCUGGUUCUCCCCGAAAUAGCUUUAGGGCUAGCCUCAAGGUGAGAGAUACGGAGGUAGAGCACUGAAUGUCCUAGGGGGUAUUGCACCUACCGAAGACUAUCAAACUCCGAAUGCCGUCAUCUUAUACUUGGGAGUCAGACUGUGGGUGAUAAGAUUCAUAGUCGAAAGGGCAACAGCCCAGAUCGUCAGCUAAGGUCCCUAAAUGUAAGUUAAGUGGUAAAGGAUGUGGGAUUGCACAGACAACCAGGAUGUUGGCUUAGAAGCAGCCACUCAUUCAAAGAGUGCGUAAUAGCUCACUGGUCGAGUGAUCCUGCGCCGAAGAUUUCCGGGGCUAAAACUUACUACCGAAGCUACGGCAUCAGUAAUGAUGGGUAGGGG